rnacentral:ncRNA from 1 species
AAAGACUUAGUCCUAACCUUACCGUUAGUUUUUGCCAAACAUAUACAUGCAAGUAUCCGCAUCCCAGUGAAAAUGCCCUCUAACCCUUAAUAAGCCACCAGGAGCAGGUAUCAGGCUCACCCACCGUAGCCCAAGACACCUUGCCUAGCCACACCCCCACGGGUACUCAGCAGUAAUUAACAUUAAGCAAUAAGCGUAAGCUUGACUUAGUUAAAGCAAUCUUUAAGGGUUGGUAAAUCUUGUGCCAGCCACCGCGGUCAUACAAGAAACCCAAAUUAACCAUACUCGGCGUAAAGAGUGGUCCUCCAUUAUCACCCACACUAAGAUUAAGACCUGUCCAAGCUGUUACAAGCAUAAGACACACUUAACACCCCCUAUUAAAAUGAUCUUAGAAAGGCGACCUAUCAAACCCACGAAAGCCAGGAUACAAACUGGGAUUAGAUACCCCACUAUGCCUAGCCCUAAAUCUUGAUGCUUCCCCUACCCAAAUCAUCCGCCCGAGAACUACGAGCACAAACGCUUAAAACUCUAAGGACUUGGCGGUACUCCAAACCCACCUAGAGGAGCCUGUUCUAUAAUCGAUAAUCCACGAUACACCUCACCAUCUCUCGCCAAACCAGCCUAUAUACCGCCGUCCCCAGCUCACCCUCAAAUUGAAGGCCCAGCAGUGAGCGCAAUAGCCACUCAGCUAACAAGACAGGUCAAGGUAUAGCCUAUGAGAUGGAAGAAAUGGGCUACAUUUUCUAGAAUAGAAUAUCACACGGCAAGGACUGUGAAACCACUCCUAAAAGGCGGAUUUAGCAGUAAAGCAGGACAAUCAUGCCUCCUUUAAGUCGGCCCUGGAGUACGUACAUACCGCCCGUCACCCUCCUCACAAGCUACAACCUCACGUACCUAAACCACCACCCAGCUAAAGAUGAGGUAAGUCGUAACAAGGUAAGUGUACCGGAAGGUGCACUUAGUUUAC